UUUGGUGGCGAUAGCGAAGAGGUCACACCCGUUCCCAUACCGAACACGGAAGUUAAGCUCUUCAGCGCCGAUGGUAGUCGGGGGUUUCCCCCUGUGAGAGUAGGACAUCGCCAGGC
rnacentral:rRNA from 2 species